rnacentral:rRNA from 1 species
ACGGAAGGCAGCAGUGGGGAAUAUUGGACAAUGGGGGAAACCCCGAUCCAGCGACGCCGCGUGAGUGUAGAAGUAUUUCGGUAUGUAAAGCUCUAUCAGCAAGGAAGAAAAUGACGGUACUUGACUAAGAAGCCCCGGCUAACUACGUGCCAGCAGCCGCGGUAAUACGUAGGGGGCAAGCGUUAUCCGGAUUUACUGGGUGUAAAGGGAGCGUAGACGGCAUAGCAAGUCUGAAGUGAAAUGCAUGGGCUCAACCCAUGAACUGCUUUGGAAACUGUUAAGCUAGAGUGCAGGAGAGGUAAGUGGAAUUCCUAGUGUAGCGGUGAAAUGCGUAGAUAUUAGGAGGAACACCAGUGGCGAAGGCGGCUUACUGGACUGUAACUGACGUUGAGGCUCGAAAGCGUGGGGAGCAAACAGGAUUAGAUACCCUGGUA